UGAUGAUGCAAACUGCUUUGAGUAAGGAUUGAUUCUCAGCAAUACUGUCUGACCCCUAAGAUGUGGUAGUUAUGAGUUUUCUCCACAAUUCCUUAAUUAAUUCACUUUAUUCAUACAUUCAACAAAUAUUUAUUGCUGGUCUUCUAUGCAUGGGGCACAUGUUAAGCCCUGGGGAUAUACAGUUUCUAACCUCAUGGAAUUUACAUUAUGGUCGGAGUAGAUAGACAGUAAACAAAUAAAAAAGUAAAACAUGGUACAAUAUGGUGGUCAGUUCUGUGAAAAAAAAAUGAAGCAAGAAUGAUAAGAAUUGUGGGAGGAGAAGAGUUUGAAAUUUUUUAAUGGGAAAUUUUUUUAAAGGGAAAUCAGGAAAACAUCCAGUGAAACUGAUAUUUAAGCAAAUACCUGAAGAUAGUGAGGGAGGCAAGCCAGGUAGAUAUCUGGAGAAAGAGCAUUCCAGCAGAGGAGACAGCUAAUGCAAAGCAUGGUGGCGGGGCAUGGCUGUACAAUGCGUUUAUUCUCAACUGUACUAUAAUUAUAUCUGAAUAAUUUUAAUAACAUAUACUGUUAAAUUAAAUCUGGUUUCCAAGCUCCCACUCAGCAAAGCUGACAAGAUGUCCAGUGUCAGUCAUUAUUGACAGCCCUUCCCACUCCCUGGACUCACAGUAGAGUCUGUGUGUCCUGGAAAGGGGCCUCCAAUCCAUCACAGUCAUUGCUGGGAUGGUUGUGACCCAAGCUUGCAGCAGAGCUCAUCAUGUCCAUCUUCCUCGUGGCUAACUCGGUCCCUGAGACCACAGCCUUAGGGAUCAGUCCCAGAUAUCCACCUGCUACAUCAGAGGUCCUACCACAUCUGGGAAUGCUACAUGGAGCUGAAGUUCCUGGCUUCUUGGCCCUGCAUCUCCAAGUUUCAGGUUCUGACCCUCCUCAGGAUUGUAACUGGAGAUUCAGAUGCGGCUGAGAGCACAAAUAUGGUAUCUCAAGAGCAAGCUGAUGCUGAAGUAGCUGCUCCCCUCCCAUGACUAAGAACCCAUCUCGAUAAUCAUCUCUUACGUGUGAAUCAGGCUUUCCAUGUCUGCACACACAUCUCAGGUGGCCCUCGCAGCAUCCUGGGAUACAGGCUGGUGCUACUGUCUCCAUCUGCCAGCAGAGGAAGCCGAGGCUCAGAGACUGAGUGACUGUCCUAGGGUCACACAGCUACUGAGCAGGGUUGUUAGAACCAGUGAGAUCUGCUGACCCGCGCCAAGCUCACUCUCCAAGAUUCAUGCUGCUCAAGCUGGCUGGACACCUCCCCGGGGAGCAGGAGAAGCCCAGAGAACACGGAGCAUAGAGUAAAUGGGCUCACAUUCCUUGGGGACCCAAUUUGGCUUGAUGUUAAGUAAAUUUAAAAUUUUUAUAUAAAAACUAACAGAUAAGUUCUGGAGUAAGACAAAAGUGUGACUUGUUUUAGUUAAAAUGUGAGUUAUCGAACUUUUGAUAAUACAAGUAACAACAUUGGUUCAUUAAUUGUGAUAAAUGUACCAUAGUGAUGUAAGGUGUUACUAAUAAUGGAAACCAGGUGUGGGUAUAAGGAGCUCUGUACUAUCUUUGCAAUAAUACUGUAAAUCUAAAACUGAAAUAAAAAUUUCAUUUUAAAAAAGUGAGAUAUCA
rnacentral:lncRNA from 1 species